GUAGGGAAUAUUGGUCAAUGGAUGGAAGUCUGAACCAGCCAUGCCGCGUGCAGGAAGAAGGCCUUCUGGGUUGUAAACUGCUUUUGCCGGGGGAUAAAAUUCCCAUGCGUGGGACAUUGAAGGUACCCGGUGAAUAAGCCACGGCUAACUACGUGCCAGCAGCCGCGGUAAUACGUAGGUGGCAAGCGUUGUCCGGAUUUAUUGGGUUUAAAGGGUGCGUAGGCGGCCUAUUAAGUCAGUUCUGAAAUAUCCCGGCUUAACCGGGAGGGUGGGAUUGAUACUGAUGGGCUUGAGUGGAAUCGAGGUAGGCGGAAUUGACGGUGUAGCGGUGAAAUGCUUAGAUAUCGUCAAGAACACCGAUAGUGUAGACAGCUUACUAGACUUCAACUGACGCUGAGGCACGAAAGUGUGGGGAUCAAA
rnacentral:rRNA from 1 species